rnacentral:rRNA from 1 species
CUUGACGACCAUAGAGCAUUGGAACCACCUGAUCCCAUCCCGAACUCAGCAGUGAAACGAUGCAUCGCCGAUGGUUAGUGUGGGGUUUCCCCAUGUGAGAGUAGUCAUCGUCAGAU